AGAGUUUGAUCCUGGCUCAGAUUGAACGCUGGCGGCAUGCCUUACACAUGCAAGUCGAACGGCAGCACGAGAGCUUGCUCUUGGUGGCGAGUGGCGAACGGGUGAGUAAUAUAUCGGAACGUACCCUAGAGUGGGGGAUAACGUAGCGAAAGUUACGCUAAUACCGCAUACGAUCUACGGAUGAAAGUGGGGGAUCGCAAGACCUCAUGCUCAUGGAGCGGCCGAUAUCUGAUUAGCUAGUUGGUGGGGUAAAAGCUCACCAAGGCGACGAUCAGUAGCUGGUCUGAGAGGACGACCAGCCACACUGGAACUGAGACGCGGUCCAGACUCCUACGGGAGGCAGCAGUGGGGAAUUUUGGACAAUGGGCGCAAGCCUGAUCCAGCAAUGCCGCGUGAGUGAAGAAGGCCUUCGGGUUGUAAAGCUCUUUUGUCAGGGAAGAAACGGUGGACUCUAAUACAGAUCACUAAUGACGGUACCUGAAGAAUAAGCACCGGCUAACUACGUGCCAGCAGCCGCGGUAAUACGUAGGGUGCAAGCGUUAAUCGGAAUUACUGGGCGUAAAGCGUGCGCAGGCGGUUGUGCAAGACAGAUGUGAAAUCCCCGGGCUCAACCUGGGAAUUGCAUUUGUGACUGCACGGCUAGAGUGUGUCAGAGGGGGGUAGAAUUCCACGUGUAGCAGUGAAAUGCGUAGAGAUGUGGAGGAAUACCGAUGGCGAAGGCAGCCCCCUGGGAUAACACUGACGCUCAUGCACGAAAGCGUGGGGAGCAAACAGGAUUAGAUACCCUGGUAGUCCACGCCCUAAACGAUGUCUACUAGUUGUCGGGUCUUAAUUGACUUGGUAACGCAGCUAACGCGUGAAGUAGACCGCCUGGGGAGUACGGUCGCAAGAUUAAAACUCAAAGGAAUUGACGGGGACCCGCACAAGCGGUGGAUGAUGUGGAUUAAUUCGAUGCAACGCGAAAAACCUUACCUACCCUUGACAUGUCUGGAAUCCUUGAGAGAUCAGGGAGUGCUCGAAAGAGAAUCAGAACACAGGUGCUGCAUGGCUGUCGUCAGCUCGUGUCGUGAGAUGUUGGGUUAAGUCCCGCAACGAGCGCAACCCUUGUCAUUAGUUGCUACGAAAGGGCACUCUAAUGAGACUGCCGGUGACAAACCGGAGGAAGGUGGGGAUGACGUCAAGUCCUCAUGGCCCUUAUGGGUAGGGCUUCACACGUCAUACAAUGGUACAUACAGAGGGCCGCCAACCCGCGAGGGGGAGCUAAUCCCAGAAAGUGUAUCGUAGUCCGGAUUGUAGUCUGCAACUCGACUACAUGAAGUUGGAAUCGCUAGUAAUCGCGGAUCAGCAUGUCGCGGUGAAUACGUUCUCGGGUCUUGUACACACCGCCCGUCACACCAUGGGAGCGGGUUUCACCAGAAGUGGGUAGCCUAACCGCAAGGAGGGCGCUCACCACGGUGGGAUUCGUGACUGGGGUGAAGUCGUAACAAGGUA
rnacentral:rRNA from 1 species